UACGUAGGGUGCAAGCGUUGUCCGGAAUUAUUGGGCGUAAAGAGCUCGUAGGCGGUUUGUCGCGUCUGCUGUGAAAUCCCAGGGCUUAACCCUGGGCCUGCAGUGGGUACGGGCAAACUAGAGUGCGGUAGGGGAGAUCGGAAUUCCUGGUGUAGCGGUGAAAUGCGCAGAUAUCAGGAGGAACACCGGUGGCGAAGGCAGGUCUCUGGGCCGAUACUGACGCUGAGGAGCGAAAGCUAGGGGAGCAAACGGG
rnacentral:rRNA from 1 species